rnacentral:tRNA from 1 species
ACCGCGAUAGCUCAGCUAGCAGAGCGUCUGCCCGGUGUGCGGAGGGUCGCCGGUUCGAUUCCGGCUCGCGGCG